AUGAACUUCCUUCUUGUGAAAAUGCAAGGGAAAAAAUGUGCUAGACCAAAAAUCAGAGUUGAGCAUCUUUUAAAAGAAACAAAUGAAGAAAAAGGUAUUUUACUCCUAGAGAAGAAACGACACACCUUCCUCUUAAGAAAGAAAACCCCAUGGUCCCCAAUAGCCUCAAUGCUAAUUUGGUUCUUAGGGGAGAGGAAUCCUUCCUUGUGUCUUUAUUGGAGAGAUGUGAACAAUAACAGCGUGAAGGUUGUUAGCCUUUCUUGUUUCAUAUCGUUGGUGAAGACUGCCGCUUUUAUUUAGCGGAUGCUGUGCCUUCAGGAGGUGCCAGUGCAGCGGGCCAGGACGACAGAUCAAUGAAGUGUGGUGAUAAAUGGCAAUGACCUACCUUCUCAGUGUCAGAGAGACCAUAGGGCAUGGUGGGGAGUGUGGCAAACUGAAGUGCUCCGUGUCCCACCCAUAGGAGGGCAGCUACUCCAGCCAUUUGUGGCCAUGUGGUGUCUCCUGAUCUUCCCAUUUUUCAAGAGAAGCUGAGAAUCUGGAAUUUGAUAGGAAAGUUUCUAAUUUUCUAAAGUAUUGGCAGCUAAAUUAAAAGAUUUUUUUUUUCAAUUCAGAUUCAACAGAACACAUGAGUGGGCCUGAUUUGGCCCACUAGAUGCCAGUUUGCUACCUCUGCCUUGUAAGAUUUGAAAUGAAAAGCGUUCAUGGUAAUUACAGAUGUCUGGUACCACCAGAAAAUGCUCUUGCUAAAUGCAGCUGGUGUCUGGAUUGCUUCUUCCCCACCUUGCCUCCCCCAAGGUAGUUUGAUACGAUUGUGAAUGUAUUUGAAAUGUUUGAGGGCUUCUUUAUGUUUCGUGGUGCCUUAAGAGAAAGGCAGGCCAGUUACUAAUUUCAAAAUCAGAUUUAUGUUCCCCAAUUUAAAAAGCAUAACACUUGGGACAAUUUUCAUUUAAACUCCACAACCUAAAAGGCCUUAUUUAUAGUUUUAGUUCUUGGCUUCAUAAUUUUUUAAAUGAUGUGCAAUUCUGAGCUUAGGCCAAGACUUAAUGAGAAAAGCAGGCGUUGUGGGGAGCGGGGCAGGGAAUCCCCGAGUGUCCACUAGAGCCAGGUAUUUGCAUUGUCUUCUGUUUUAAAUGAUCUGUGAAGUGACUGUGUUUUGGAGAUGUGAAACAGUAUCCAGACAAAAGCUUUCCCUGAUACCGAGAGAUCAGUUAGGAGUCCUCCUGGGGUGUUGGGUCAUCCUUUCUGUGUCCCCUCCUUUCCAGGCUCAGGGUGAAAAUAAACAAAAGGAAGUCUGACCGUAAGCCA
rnacentral:lncRNA from 1 species